AUUAGUAGAUAUAAACUUCAAAUUUGAAGAAUUUGGCGGUGGUUUAAUCUUGUCAGAGGAACCUGUUUUUAAAUCGAUAAACCACGUGAAAUCUUACUUGUUUUAUUUAGCUUAUAUACCGUCAUUAUCAGAUAAUUUCUAAAGAGAUAAUCAUCGGAAUUUAUUAAAGAAGAUAAAUUAAAUUAGAUCAAGGUGUAGCCUAUAGGCAAGUUAAAAUGGGUUACAAUAAAACAUAUUUACUAUGAAUUAGUCGAAGAAAAAUAACUAUGAAGGAGGAUUUGAUUGUAAUUUGAGUUCAAUAAGCUUAAAAGAUAUAAGCACUAAACCAU
rnacentral:rRNA from 1 species